rnacentral:lncRNA from 1 species
AAAUUAGUAGCUGGAGUCCUGUUUUCUCCACUCUGCAGGCAUGAUCUUUGGCUAUCUCUCCAUGUGCACCAUGAAACAAAGAGCUGAGUCAAUUUCUCUGAUAAUUCGAAUCAGCUGAGGCUUGCAGAGAAGGGAGCGUGAGCUGGGCAGAUACGUCUAGUAGCAGCAGCCACCCCAGCAAAGAGACAAAGAACCCACCCAGGAGCCUCACAUGCUGCUAUUCUAGAAAAUU